rnacentral:ncRNA from 2 species
UACAGAGGGCCCGAGCGUUACGCGGAUUCACUGGGCUUAAAGGGUGCGUAGGCGGCGGCGUAAGUGCUUUGUGAAAUCCCACGGCUUAACCGUGGAAUUGCAUGGCAUACUGCGUCGCUUGAGGCCAGUAGAGGGUGCCGGAACUGUAGGUGUAGCGGUGAAAUGCGUAGAUAUCUACAGGAACGCCGAUGGUGAAGACAGGCACCUGGGCUGGUUCUGACGCUGAGGCACGAAAGCGUGGGGAGCAAACAGG